rnacentral:rRNA from 1 species
AUGGGCGACGGCGGAACGUUCUGCACCUUGGGCAUCGGCUACGCUGCCCCGUCGGGCAUGUUCAAGGUGGUCCGCCUCAUGACCACGUUGAGUCAUGGUCAUCAGCCGAAGCACACCUGCGAGCUUCUCGCGUUGGAAGACGGCGCCAGAGGAUGGAGGCGGAUGCAGUCACCACCAAUUGCAGACUAUUUCGGCCUCCACAAAAACUCUAUGGUCACUAUAGAUGGUGUGCUCUACUUCCUUUACAGCUUGUCGCCACCGCGGGUGGGCGGGGACUAUGUCCUCCGCCUUGACCUCGAGACCGAGCAAUGGAAGAGGUCCAUCAAAGCCCCAAAGAUGAGAUCGACGAUGCCCCGUAUGGUCGAGCUCAAUGGAACCCUUUGCAUGGUUCACUUGGAGGGACGCCGGACCAAAAAUGCUUGCACGAUCAUAUGGCUCCUGUCUGAUUUGGCCAAGGGCACCUGGGCCAAGGCGUAUGUGAUCCCGAUGCCUCAUGCCGUCGAUCUAGUGAUCCCUCUGAGGAUGAUGCGUCAUGAUGGAAAGCUAAUGUGCUAUUGCUUACAUAAUGACAGACCAAGUCCGACGCUACAAGUUUAUGAUCCGCUCAAUGGGAUAUGCACACAGCUCCCAGAUCUUCCAGGUAACAAUUUGAGCGACGUUGGUUUUUGCGACUUGCACUUGGAAUGUUAUAUACGGUCCACCUAA